rnacentral:tRNA from 1 species
CCUUCCCGUAGGCCGGCCGGCCCGCGGGUGCGCCACCCCAAGACAGGGCGCCGUUCCGGAGGUUCGAAUCCUCCGGGGCGGC